GACGAACGCUGGCGGCGUGCUUAACACAUGCAAGUCGAGCGGUAAGGCCCCUUCGGGGGUACACGAGCGGCGAACGGGUGAGUAACACGUGAGCAAUCUGCCCUUCACACGGGGAUAACUUCGGGAAACCGGAGCUAAUACCCGAUACGACAACCACGGGCAUCCGAUGGUGGUGGAAAGCUCCGGGGGUGAAGGAUGAGCUCGCGGCCUAUCAGCUUGUUGGGGGGGUAACGGCCCACCAAGGCAACGACGGGUAGCCGGCCUGAGAGGGUGACCGGCCACACUGGGACUGAGACACGGCCCAGACGCCUACGGGAGGCAGCAGUGGGGAAUAUUGGACAAUGGGCGAAAGCCUGAUCCAGCAACGCCGCGUGAGGGAUGACGGCCUUCGGGUUGUAAACCUCUUUCAGCAGGGACGAAGCGCAAGUGACGGUACCUGCAGAAGAAGCACCGGCCAACUACGUGCCAGCCGCCGCAGUAACAC
rnacentral:rRNA from 1 species